GACAGAGGGUGCAAACGUUGUUCGGAAUUACUGGGCGUAAAGCGCGUGUAGGCGGUCCGUAAAGUCAGGUGUGAAAGCCCAGGGCUCAACCCUGGAAGUGCACUUGAAACUCACGGACUCGAGUCUCGGAGAGGAAGGCGGAAUUCUCGGUGUAGAGGUGAAAUUCGUAGAUAUCGAGAGGAACAUCGGUGGCGAAGGCGGCCUUCUGGACGGUGACUGACGCUGAGACGCGAAAGCGUGGGGAGCAAACAGG
rnacentral:rRNA from 1 species